rnacentral:rRNA from 1 species
GACGAACGCUGGCGGCGUGCUUAACACAUGCAAGUCGAACGGAAGGGCCCUGCUUUUGCGGGUUGCUCGAGUGGCGAACGGGUGUGUAACACGCGAGUAACCUGCACUUGUCUUUGGGAUAACUUCACGGAACUGGGGCUAAUACCGGAGAGGAGCUCCUGCUGCAUGGUGGUGGUUGGAAAGUUUCGGCGGUUGGGGAUGGACUCGCGGCUUAUCAGCUUGUUGGUGGGGUAGUGGCUUACCAAGGCUUUGACGGGUAGCCGGCCUGGGAGGGUGACCGGCCACAUGGGGACUGAGAUACGGACCAGACUCCUACGGGAGGCAGCAGUGGGGAAUAUUGCACAAUGGGCGGAAGCCUGAUGCAGCAACGCCGCGUGCGGGAUGACGGCCUUCGGGUUGUAAACCGCUUUGGCCUGUGACGAGGCGUGAGUGACGGUAAUGGGUAAAGAAGCACCGGCUAACUACGUG